GAUGAACGCUGGCGGCGUGCCUAAUACAUGCAAGUCGAGCGAACAGACGAGGAGCUUGCUCCUCUGACGUUAGCGGCGGACGGGUGAGUAACACGUGGAUAACCUCCCUAUAAGACUGGGAUAACUUCGGGAAACCGGAGCUAAUACCGGAUAAUAUAUUGAACCGCAUGGUUCAAUAGUGAAAGACGGUUUUGCUGUCACUUAUAGAUGGAUCCGCGCCGCAUUAGCUAGUUGGUAAGGUAACGGCUUACCAAGGCGACGAUGCGUAGCCGACCUGAGAGGGUGAUCGGCCACACUGGAACUGAGACACGGUCCAGACUCCUACGGGAGGCAGCAGUAGGGAAUCUUCCGCAAUGGGCGAAAGCCUGACGGAGCAACGCCGCGUGAGUUAUGAAGGUCUUCGGAUCGUAAAACUCUGUUAUUAGGGAAGAACAAAUGUGUAAGUAACUAUGCACGUCUUGACGGUACCUAAUCAGAAAGCCACGGCUAACUACGUG
rnacentral:rRNA from 1 species